rnacentral:lncRNA from 1 species
GAGUUUUCUCACACUCCAUGCAAGUGAGUUGGCGCAGAUAGACGUGCGGAAAUUGGAAUCUAACUCCACAUAAACCAGUUAUGUAUACGGGAAGUCCUUAUUUUGCAUAGUAAUGCAAGACCAUAAAAAUGACUGUCACAGCACUUCCUCCUCCUUGUGGUUGGACGGUUCCACGUGACCAGUCUAGCCAAUGGAUUGUGAGCAGAAGUUACAUGUGUCAGUUCCGUGCCAAACCAUUUGAUGGACAGUCAGUCGUGUCCUAGCCCCUGAGGAUAUCGGAGGAGGUGGCUGCUCUGUUAGCCUAAGUCUCUGAGCAACAAAGGUGAGCAGAGGCCCCCUGCUGAGAUAUGAUGGACAUGUAGCAUAAGCAAGAAGUAAACCUUUGUUUUAAGCCACUGAGAUCUUGGGGUUAUUUGUUUCUGUAGCAUAGCAACUCGUUAUGAUUGAUAUAAAAUAUCAUCAGGAGGUAAUCUAGGAAAAGGAGGAUAGGGAGCUGGGCAGAAUUUAGAACUCAGAAAUUGGCAGCUGAUAGUAAAAGGGCUCCAAAUUUGUAGGGGUAGGAGGAGAGGAAGAAUCAGGGGCAUGUACUUAAAAAAUCUUUAUAUGAUAAAAAAAAAAUUAGCACAGACACAGAAAAUAAAUGUAUAGCUUAAUAAAUUAUUAAAAAAUGAAGGUUAUCCAUUUAUGGAUUAAUAGAUUAAUGGACUAUCAUGGGAGUGGGACUCGUGGUUUAUAAGAAGAGGAAGAGAGACCUGAGCUAGCACUCAGCCCCCUUGCCAUGCAAUGCUCUGUACCAGUUUAGGACUCUGCAGAAAGUGCCUACCAUCAAGAAUGUCUCUCGCCAGACGUGGUAACUUGACCUUGAACUUCUCAGCCUCCAUAACUGUAAGAAAUAAAUUCCUUUUCUUUGUAAAUUACCCGGUUUCAGGUAUUCUUUUAUAAGCAAUAGAAAAUGAGACUGUUUCCUCACCCCUCCCUCUUUGCCCUCAAGAGGCGACCACUUACUUGCCUCUUAUGGAAACACCCUCCUUCCUUUCCUCAUGCCAUUAUCAGUCCACAUGUGCAUCCUUCAACAUUGUGGUUUAGUUUUACUUUUUAAAUAUUUUAAAGUCUCUUUUAAUGUACAGACUUCCCCUUUACCACACUCCUUUCCCCUUGUGAAUGUAUGUGUUACAAGAACUAGAUCAUUGGUAGAGUUUCCCACAGCAUAGAUUUUGCCACUUGUACCCCCACGGUGCCAUUGAUGUGUUCCUCUGGCCCCUGUAUUUCCUGUAAAUUGCUAGUUGGAUCUAUAGGCUUGAUCCAAUGUGGGUUUGAUUAUUUUUGGCAAGACAACGUCAUAGGUGGUGGUGCCUUUGUUCUCCAGAAAGUGUAAUCAUCUUUAAAAUAAUUAUUAUUUUAAUAAUAACCAUAGGUGUUCAUUUAUUUGGGGUUACAGAAUGGCAAAAUUCCAAUUUGAAAUGUCUCCUGUUCCACUCUGGUUACCAAUGAUGCAGUUCAAAUGGGACCAUCAGGGUAAAUGCUUGAUUUUUUUGUUUGUUUGUUUCUUCAGAAUUCAAAGCUUUGUCACAUACAUGUACUAGUUGCUAAGAUCUGAAUGUGGCAAAACUGUUGUAAAGGUCAACCUGGCCUCGAUUGGCCCAGCCUUCUCUCCCCAGGUCCUUUGACCUCCUGAGAGAUCAUUCCAGGCCCUGUGAAUCUCAGUUUUUCUUCCCAUCUCCCCACCCCGUCAGAGCCCACCUUCAUGGAGGGAAGGUCCUCAUGCUCACUCACCUUAGGAGGUAAAUUGUGGGCAUUGUCCACUCUAGGGAAUGUGGAUUUUAAGGCCUCUCUCUCAAAUAUUGUCUCACUUAGUCCCUGUGGAGUUCAAAACAGGUAGCUUCAAGCCCAAACUCACCUUGCAAUGUUUUGUUUUGGCCAUCACAGAGUGUUUUCACUUGUUGUUUGUUUUGCUUUUAAGUGGAGCAAGACUGCAUUUAGGCAGGGGCAUAUUCUCUGCAGUUAGAUCAGAGCCCACCGCCUCCCCUUGCAUUGUACCCGCCCUGUGUUCUGAGUCCCUUUGUGUUGCAGAACCUUGUAGGUAGGUGUUAUUAGCCCAUUUUUCAGGUGAAUGGACAAGAACUGGAGAAUUGAUGUGGGGGACCUAGGUGAGGCACAAAUGGAAAUGGAACAGCCACUGAGUGCUCUGGGAAGGAGACCACAAGCCAAAGGAGAGAGUCCACACUGGGAAGACCCAGCUACAGGGCCCUCUCCAUCCAGCCUGGUGCAAACUAAAACCCACAUUCUUUUUUCUUCCCUUUUACAGAGACAGCUCAAGGAAGCAUGAUAAAAUGAGGCCUAAGAUAAUAUUUGAGGGGAAAGUUUAUUUUUUUAUGGUCUGUUUGCAUUACACCAUCGGGUGAAGAGAGGAGGAGAAAGACUUGUCCCAAAUGGCAGAGCUGGAGAAGCACAAAUCCAAUGUCAAUAGUUGGAAAUACAAGUGUGUGGUUUCAUUAAACUUCUUUUUUUAAAAAAAACUUUGUUCUUCCUUUUCCUGAGGCAGUCCAAGGGAAGGGGACACAGAGGUGGAAACAGACAGGGAGAGAGGAGGGAGCAAGCCAGGGCCAGCGAAGGGGGCUUGUCUUAAGGAACCUGCUCCCGCUGUGAGUGUCCUCAGCCAGCCCAGGAGGCUGGCAGGCCUGAUCAGAAGCAGCCAGCCAGAGCCUUCCGCUGAUUCCAAUGACGGCUGCUAAGCAGGGGCAGG